AAAGGUGGUUUAUGUAUCACAGUUGGGAUCAUAAAACACAGCAACAUUGAUGAUUAAAUCUCUCCAAGCUUAAAGAGCUGUUUUCU